rnacentral:piRNA from 1 species
UAAAAAGCCUAAGGGUCAUGCAGGAACCGC